rnacentral:rRNA from 1 species
GACGUAGGGCGCGAGCGUUGUCCGGAAUUAUUGGGCGUAAAGAGCUCGUAGGCGGCCUGUCGCGUCGGUUGUGAAAGCCCGGGGCUCAACCCCGGGUCUGCAGUCGAUACGGGCAGGCUAGAGUUCGGUAGGGGAGAUCGGAAUUCCUGGUGUAGCGGUGAAAUGCGCAGAUAUCAGGAGGAACACCGGUGGCGAAGGCGGAUCUCUGGGCCGAUACUGACGCUGAGGAGCGAAAGCGUGGGGAGCGAACAGG